CGGUAGAGAGUGAAGUAUUGAAAACCGUACCCGUAAAACACAAACGACAUCUACACAGCUAGGCGGGUACAAAAUAACUAUUGAGACAGCACGACAUUAUCCCCGGUUCAGAUGAAAGGGAAGUAUGACAGAUUUUUCCUCUUUAGUCUUUAUUAUUGUUCCCUACACACCACUGUGCCUUUUAAAUGUGCCUUUAAUGUUUUCUCUAUCUCAACCCAUCCUCCAUUUUACUAUUUAAGAUCAGUCCCCCCAAAAUAAUUUAUUACCAUUUAACCCCAAAAGUCCAGGAAUCCCUCUCAACACUACAUACAUCUAUCUCGUAUUGUUUCUCCAACAAGACGAAAGAAAGAAAACAAAAAUGCUACCAAUCCUCACCACUUGUGGCCUUCCACUCUGUCUUUCAUCGAUCUCUCGUGAUCCUCUUGCUAUUUACAAAGAGAUUGCGGACCAUGAUCGAAGAAGGGAGGCGAUAAAAAAGAUGAAACUUGAAGAAAACUCGCAGACGAUCGGAGAUCGGACAAGAGGUGAUGUACGCAGUGCUACUGUUAAGUAUGUUACGAAACACGACUUUGCACGCAUUUCUUCAAUGGCUUGUACUGCCAAAGCUGCAUGAGUAAUACAACUUAAAAGUGAUUAGCAUUAUUAAUUAGUUUCCCACCAAAAGUUAGUCUUUUUUUUUUUUGUACUAUUUUCUGGUAUUGUUGUUUAGCAUUGUAUUAUGGGUGGUUGAUGUUGGGGAAAAUUCUCUUAUGAUCCUAAAUCCUAAUUUAUCUUAUGUAGUGCAUGAAAAAAAAUAAAAUACACUUUCCUGUGUUCAUUUCUAAUUGGC